UAAAAGAAAAAUAAAAAUAUUAAAUAAAGCAAGAACCAAUAAGUCAUUUACAUGUGACAAGAUUCUUCCUAAUCUUUUCCUAAUCUUUUAUAACAAAGUCACUUGCUCUCCUUCAAAAAUCACAUAGCACUCUUUUUCUUGGACAAGAAUUAAUUCACACUCACCAGUACACUUAAAAAUACACAGUGCACGUUAGAAAUAGGCUCACAAAUACUGAUCAGCAUAUGGAGAAAGAUUCCCUCAACAAUGCAUGACUCACGUCCUUAUCCACAAGGCACCUUCUGAGAAUUUGCUCUCCAAUUCACACUCUUAAGCACUCUCACUCCUCCUAUAUAAACACACACAAAAAAAGGGGACACAUUGAGAGGGGACGGGCAAAAAAGGAAGCUUUCUUCUUCUUCCUCACAAUUACAUCAAAUAAAACUUCAAAUCCCUCACCAAACUCCAGUGAAAAUAAGUCCAAAAGGCAGCAAAAACCUGCUGCAAAUAGCCCCUAAAAAUACAGCACCUUUACUCCCACAAAACGCUAUGAAAAUCAUCAUCAAACAACCAUAACUGCUGCCCCAAAAAUAGCCCUUAAAGCUCCAUGAGAACGCAGCAAAAUCAGCACCAUUAAAGCACCAAAAUGACCUCAAAUCGGCCGCCGAACCAGCUACAAAACCAGCACCAAACAGUCCCCAAAACACCAUGUAAAGCAGCCAUUAACCACCCCAAACUCCUGCUGAAAUUCAGCUCCAAACCCAGCUGAAAAACAGCCCUUCGAAACCAGCAAAGCAGCUGCGAAAAUGACUCCAUAACACAACCAUGAAACUCCUCAAAAUUCCACCUGAAACCAACGUGAAAAUCAGCUGGGAAAACUCAGCUGAAAUCUGCCAUUGAAAUGCACCAAAAUCAGCCUCCGAAACACCUCAAAUCCACCCCAAAACGCAGCCAUUAAAGCUGCUCAAAACCACUCAAAAACGAGCAAAAAGGGACCUGAAACAGUAGCUCAAAUCGCUGCUAAUUCUACCAUGAAACAGUACCAAAAUACUACCAGAAUUCCAGCCGAACAAUCCUUGGAACACAAGUUUUAAGUCGAGUUUGAGGUUGCGGAUGAGGUCGUGGUUCGUUAGCUCCGGUCGAGUCCAUCUGAAAUUCAGUAUAUCGGAGAGUUUGUAAAAGACUAGGUUUGGAGGCUCUUUGUUCUGUUUGUUCAGAUUCGUCUGAGGUUCAUUCUUCUUUACAGUUUUCGCUCCUAAUACAUUUUUUAUUGUCAGUUUUCUUCUGAUAUUUGCUGCUUUGUCCUAUUAGUUGCUUGAGUUAGUGUUUCGCUGAUUUUUUUCGCUGUGCUUUUGUGGAAAGUUCAAUGCAUUGGUUUAUCCUAUUUUUAUGAUUGUUUGGAUUAUAAUUAUAUGGGUGUAGCUUGGUGAACAAAUUAAAAAGUGUUGAUGGGUCAUGAGCUUUUAGCUUUUAUAAAAACGGGAAAGCUCUGCUUGGGACUAGCUAUUGUAAUAAAAUUAUUUCAUUAAGUGGGCAGGGGAAUUUGCUUCUCUUUCAAGGAUAAUUGGUCAUAUUGGAGAGUGGACCUUUUAAGUAUAAUUUAAUGGAGUCUAGAUAUAGCUGCUCCGUUUGCACUUAGUUUGCUGGCCCAUUCACAAAUUGGUUGGCCCAAUUAUUGUAAAUAUAUAAGAUGUUCUUUUCUUUAACUACUACAUGGGCCAACUAUCAAUGAAAUUCAUAACAUCUUCCCCACGAUUUUACUUCGAUAACUUCGUGCCUCGCAAUAAUAUCAAAGGAGAGAAUGAAUAAUAAACACCGUUAGAGUGCUUUAGGUGCACUUUUAAUUUAUUAUCGUGAUUGUGUACAUGUUCGCGUGACAUGAUUACGAUUCCCAAAAUAAAUCAAAGUACGCGUUCGCGCGACUUUGGCCAAAUAAUCUUAAUAAUAAUAAAGUAUUAUUAAUUGUGUAUACGUACGCGUGACAUGAUUUUCGCACACCAAAUAAAACAGAUUUAUACACAUGUGAUCCGUUUCCAAGAUAAAUCCAUAAAGCGCCAUAAUUAAAAGCGGUAAAAGGUAAAACGUGCAUAGGUUAUAAAAAUACUUAAUUAAACAAUUUAAUUAAGCCAGGUAUGAUUAAAAGCGACCGUGCUAAAACCACAGAACUCGGGAAUGCCUAACACCUUCUCCCGGGUUAACAGAAUUCCUUACUCGGUCUUUUAUUUUUUGCAGACUUUAAACAUAGUUAAAUUUCCUCGAUUUGGGAUUUAAAAUAAACCGGUGACUUGGGACACCAUAAAGUAUUCCAAGUGGCGACUCUAAAAUAAAAUAAAUAAUCCCAUUUCGAAACCGGUGAUUGUCAUGCCAAGACCGUGACGCUGGCUAUGCCAGGUGUGAUGUUUAUCUAGCCUUUGUGAGGGAUGUCAGUGCUGAUCCUCCUACCGUUGAGUCAGUUCCGGUAGUGAGAGACUUUCCUGAUGUAUUUUCAGUAAAUUUUCCAAGCAUGUCGCCCGAUAGGGAUAUCGAUUUUGGUAUUGACUUGUUGCUGGAUACUCAGCUCAUUUCUAUUCCAUCAUAUCGUAUGGCCCCAGCGGAGCUGAAGGAGCUAAAGGAGCAGUUGCAAGAGUUACUUGAUAAGGGAUUCAUUCAGCCUAGUGUGUUGCCGUUGGGUGCUCCGGUCUUGUUUGUGAAGAAGAAGGAUGGUUCUAUACUCAUGUGCAUUGAUUAUCGUCAGUUGGACAAGGUUACAGUGAAGAAUAAGUAUCCAUUGCCACGUAUUGAUGACCUAUUUGAUAAGCUACAGGGUGCAAGGGUAUUCUCCAAGAUUGAUUUGCGGUCAGGUUAUCAUCAGCUGAAGAUUCAGGAUCCAGAUAUUCCAGAGACUGCCUUUAGGACUCGGUAUGGUCACUACGAGUUCCUCGUGAUGUCGUUUGGGCUGACCAAUACCCCACCAACAUUUAUGCACCUGAUGAAUAGUAUAUUCCAGCCUUAUCUUGAUUCAUUUGUCAUUGUGUUUAUUAACGACAUCUUGGUGUACUCCCGCAGCCGGGAAGAUCAUGAGCAACACUUGAGGAUCGUGCUCCAGACCUAGGUCAUGUGGUGUCGAGUGAAGGGAUCAAGGUAGAUUCGAAGAAUAUUGAAGCAAUGCAGAUUUGGACUAGACCAUCUUCAGCUAUAUAGAUCCGGAGUUUUCUUGGUUUGGCCGGGUAUUAUCUUCGUUUCGUAGAGGGUUGCUCAUUUAUUGCUGCACCUAUGACGAGAUUGACCCAGAAGGGUGCUCCUUUCAGAUGGACUGAGGAGUGUGAGGCGAGUUUUCAAAAGCUCAAGACUGCUUUGACUACAACCCAAUGUUAGUGUUGCCUACGGGCUCCGGAUCCUAUACUGUGUAUUGUAAUGCGUCACAUGCUGGCCUUGGCGCGGUGUUAAUGCGAGACGGUAGGGUGAUUGCCUACACAUGUCGACAUGUGAAGACCCAUGAGAAGAAUUGCCCAGUCCGCGACUUGGAGUUGGAAGCCAUUGUUCAUGCAUUGAAGAUCUAUAUGCAUUAUUUGUACGGUGUCCAUUGCGAGGUCUUUACCUACCACCGGAGUUUGCACCAUCUAUUCAAAUAGAAAGAUCUUAACUUGCGGCAUCGAAGGUGGUUAGAGUUACUUAAGGACUAUUAAAUCACCAUUCUAUAUCAUCCCGGGAAGGCUAAUAUGGUGUCCGAUGCCUUGAGUCGAAAGACGGAGAGUUUGGGUAGUUUAGCAUAUCUACCGGUAGCAGAGAGGCCAUUAGCAUUGGAGGUUCAGGCCUUAGCCAACCAGUUUAUUAGAUUGGAUGUUUCGGAUCCUAGUCGAGUCCUUGCCUGGGUGGUUUCUCAUUCUUCUCUAUAUGUCCGUAUUAGAGAGUAUCAGUAUGACGACCCCACUUGCUUGUCCUCAAGGACACGGUUCAGCAUGGCGAUGCCAAGGAGGUUACUAUUAAGGAUGACAGUGUAUUACGGAUACAGGGCUGGUUAUGUGUGCCCAAUGUGGAUGGUUUGCGUGAGUUGAUUCUUCAGGAGGCCUACAGUUCACGGUACUUCAUUCAUCCGGGUGCCGUUAAGAUAUAUCAGGACUUGAGGCAACACUAUUGGUGGAGGAGGAUGAAGAAGGACAUAGUGAAGUAUAUAGCUCGGUGCCUAAAUUAUUAGCAGGUGAAGUAUGAGCAAUAACGACCGGGUGAUUUGCUUCAGCGGCUUGAGAUUCCUGAGUGGAAUGGGAGCGUGUCACCAUGGACUUCGUUGUUAGACUUCCAUGGACUUAGAAGAAGUUUGACGCGGUAUGGAUGAUUGUGGGCAAGUUGACCAAGUCGGCUCAUUUCAUUCCGGUAGUGACUACCUAUUCUUUAGAGUAGCUGGCUCAGAUCUACAUUCACGAGAUUGUUCGACUUCAUGGCAUACCAGUAUCCAUCAUUUCUAACCGGGGUACACAGUUCACAUCGCAUUUCUGGAAAGCUGUACAGUGUGAGCUAGGCACAUGGGUUGAGUUGAGUACAACAUUUCAUCAUCAGGCAGACAGACAUUCCGAGCGCACUGUUUAGAUAUUGGAUGAUAUGGUCAGCGCCUGUGUUAUGGAUUUUAGGGGUGCUUGGGAUCAGUUCUUGCCACUUGCGGAGUUUGCCUACAACAACAGCUACCAGUCGAGUAUUCAGAUGGCUCCGUAGGAGGCUCUAUAUGGGAGACGAUGCCGUUCUCCAGUUGGGUGGUUUGAGCCAGAAAAGGCUAAAUUAUUAGGCAUGGAUCUGGUUUGAGAUGCUUUGGAGAAGGUCAAGAUGAUCCAGGAUUGGUUUUGUACAACCCAAUCUAGAUAGAAUAGUUAUGCAGAUCGGAAGGUUCGCGAUGUUGAAUUCAUGGUUGGAAAGUGAGUCUUGCUCCGGGUUUCACCCAUGAAGGGUGUGGUGAGGUUCGGAAAUAAGGGCACGUUGAGCCCUAGGUAUAUCGGACAUUUUGAGAUUCUUGAGAGGACUGGAGAGGUGGCCUACAAGCUUGACUUGCCACCUAGUUUAUCUGCGGUUCAUCCGAUGUUCCAUGUAUCUAUGCUCCAGAAGUAUUAUGGUGAUCCGUCUCAUGUUUUAGACUUUAGCACAGUCCAAUUGGAUGAGGAUUUGACUUAUAUUGAGGAGCUAGUGGUGAUCUUGGACAGACAUGUCUGGAAGUUGAGAUCAAAGGAUAUUGCUUUAGUGAAGGUUCAAUAGAGAGGUCAUGCAGUCGAGGAAGUGACCUGGGAGACCGAGCACAACAUGUAGAGUCGUUAUCCUCAUCUAUUCACCGCUUUAGGUAUGUCCUUAUGCACGUUCGAGGACGUUUUCAUGCUUCACACAUGUGUGUUUAUGCUUUUAUGACUUGCGGGGUUGGUUAGUUUCGUUCCGCGAAGUUUUCAGGUUGAUUUGGAUCCUUGAUUCUUGACUUAGAAGUUUAAAUUUGAAAUUGUUGACCAAACUUUGACUUUUCUGAAAACGAUACCGGAAUUAUGUUUUUAUGACUCCGAUAACUUCGUAUUGUGAUUUCGGACUUGGGCGUAGAUUUUGGAAGUCCGUAGGUUGAUUUGUGUUGAUUUGUCGAAAUUUGGCAAUUAAAAGUUGAAAAGCUUGACCAUAGGUUGACUUUUAGCUAUCGAGCCCAGAAUUUAAUUUUGGGACUUGGAAUAGGUCCGGUAUGGUAUUUAGAACUUGUCUGCAAAAUUUGGUUUCGUUUGGAGUUGUUUUGAUAUAAUUCAGACGCUUAGUUGUAAUUCUAGAAGUUCUUGAAAAUUUCUUUGAACAUCAUGCGUUUUAGUGUUUGAUUCGUAGUUUUAGAUGUUAUUUUUGAAUUUUUAUCGUGCGAGUGAGUUCGUAUGAUAUUUUUAUACUUGUGUGGAUGUUUGGUUUGGAGCCCUGAGGGCUCGGAUGAGUUUCAGACAUGUUUUAGAGUCCUUUGGACUGAAAAUGGCAAGCAUUUGGUGUCUGGUGCUCUGGUGUCGCAAAUGCAAACACCAAGUUCUCAUUUGCAAAGGCGACAGGUGAGUGGCAGUUGUCGUAAAUGUUACCUCCCCUUCGCAUUUGCGAAGCUAUCAGAAAUUGGAUAGUGUUUGCAAUUGCGAACAAUUGUUCGCCUUUGCGAUAUUUCCCAGUUCGCAAUUGCGAAGACUUAAUCGCAAUUGCGAUGUAUGCUGAGUCUGUGAGGGUUCGCAAAUACGAGCCCUGAUAUGCAAUUGCGAGGGUUCACAAAUGCGAACCCUAUGUCGCAAAUUCGACAUCUCCCGCUGGUUAAAGGGCUGGGACACAGUAUUUUUGAACUCAUUCUCACAUUUUUGAACCCUAGACUCGGUAGGAGGCGAUUUGGAGAGAGAGUUUUCACCUACAAACCCUGAGUAGGUGAUUUUAAUCUAUUUCUAAUCAUAUUCCAUCAAUAUAUCUUAGAUUUUAACAUCAAAAUCCUAUGAAUCAAAGUGAAAAUUUGUGAAACUUUGUUAGGUUUUUGAAAAAUAAGAAAUUAAGUUUUGAGAGUCGAUUUGGACUCGGAUUUUGAAACUAAUCACAUAUAUGAACUCGUGAGGUCAUGGGUAGACGAAAUCUGCCAUUGGACUCGAGUUUUGACCGGGCGGGCCCUGGGUUGACCUUUGUUGACUUUUUGGGAAAAGUGUAAAGAUCUUAACUUUAUCUAUUGCAAUUGAAUUCUGUAGCAUUGUUUGAUGAUAUUGAGUCGAUUUUAUUUAGAUUUGAGCCGUGCGGAGGCGAACUUUAAGGGAAAAGCUAUUUUCGAGUGUUGAAUUAGCCUAGUUGAGGUAAGUGUCUUGCCUAAAUUUGUGUGGGAGAAACUACACCUUAUAAUUGGUAUUAUUUGCUUUUAUUGUGCUAAGUGAAAUCCGUGUACGCAAAGUGAUGAGUGGGUACACGGGUUGUACGUGGUAUUUGACCGGUUUAGGCUACUUAGACUAUUUUCAUGCUUUAAUCGAAAUGCCAUAUCAUGUUCUAAAUUCUCAUAGUCAAUUUAUCCUUAAUUGUGUUAGACUAUCCUUACAUGCCUUAAUUGACUUGUUUAGAACUUGUUCUACAUCCUACUUGCUAAAUUGCUCCCAUGCUUUAGUUGAACUUGUUGCCUCUUUUAUUGGUACAUUCUAUCUCUUCAUUGUUAAUCAUCAUUAUUUGGAAUUAUUGUUCGUGUUAUCUCUUUCCUUAUUGAUUUUUCGUUACUUGAAGUAAUUGUUCAUGUUAUCCCUUUACUUGUUGAUUUCCAUUAUUUGAGACUCAUUGUGAAAUAUUAUCUCUUUUAUUGUGAGUUAGUCUUAUCUAAUACCGUGGUUAUACAUUAUUUCACUCAUUGUUAAGUUAUUUGGUUUUGAAGUUGUGAAAGUCGUUAAUACGUUGAGGCGAUGUUGGUUAUUGUUGAAACAUCUAUCUUAUUGAGCAUUUUUUCAUUCAUUCAUUGUUGUUGAUAUUCUUGUAUACAUUGUGGUGGAUCCAUGGGCUAUUGUUGUGGAAUCAUUGGUAUUGUUGUGGUUUCUAGCAAGUUGUGAUAUAUGGGCACUUGUGGUGCAAAUUGUUAUUGUGAUAUGAUAUUGACGCGCAUGUGACGGUAUAAGGUUUGGGGUUAAUGUGCAUCCGAUGGUAUAAGGUGGGACUUAUGUGUGUGUGUUGCUUGUAGGGGAGCUACGUGAAGCCAUGUGGCAUCAUAAGGUGGGCUAAAGUGCGUGCAACUAUUUGGGGAAAACUGUUUUCAAAAACCUAUUUCAAAUGUAAGGCUCACGCGACGGUAUAAGGAAAGAUUGUAAUUGAAAUUGAGUAAUGUGAAUACGAGGCAGUACCUCAGUUGUGAUUCUUGAUUAUACGAGGCGGUACCUUGGUUUUAAUUUUAUUAUACCCCAGGCGGUACCUCGUUGUGAUUCUUGCUGUUUAUUUCAUGUUGCAAAGUGUUUUGGUGGGAAUAUUUUUUGUUGUUUCAUUCUUUUAUUAUUCUAGGAGUUGUUGUCUGUACAUGAUCAUUGUAGCCCCUUUAGUUGCUUCUUUUAUGCUGUUUCCAUUGUUGAUUUCCAGUAGUAGUUCAUGCUAUUAUCUUGUUUCGUAUCACUUGUUUCUUCACUUUCCAUUACAUAUACGUAUUACAUUUUUAUACUAUUUAUUUAUAUCCUAGUAUGUGUCUUGACCUGACCUCGUCACUACUCUACUGAGGUUAGGUUUGAUACUUACUGGAUACCGUUGUGUUGUACUCAUACUACGCUUCUGCAUAUUUUUUUGUGCUGAUCCAGGUGCAUCUGCUCGUGCCGGUCGUUAGAGAUUACCUACUAGCUUCCUUUUUUGGAGACUUCAAGGUAUGCCUGCUCGCCAUCCGCAGGCCUCAGAGUCACCUUCCCUUAUUCUCAGUUACUGCUGUAUUUUCUCUCAAACAAUGAUGUAUCAGAUAUUUUAGUUUAUUCAAUAGUGCUUAUGACUCUGUUCCACAGUUCUUAGGGAUUGUAUGGUUGAGAUUUUGCUUUUCAGAAGUUUUAUGAGUUUAUCAAACUGGGUUUAAGUAUUUUGUUAUAUACAAUUGUUCAAUUGUUAUCAAAUAUUAGGCUUACCUAGUCAUAGAGACUAGGUGCCAUCACGACAUCCUAUGGAGGGAAGUUGGGGUCGUGAUAUCAAGAUCCUUUCUCAAUACCUCACAACAUAAAUUCAUGUUCCUGACACAUGCCAAAUGUCCAAACCAAGCACCAAAAUGAAAACCGGGUGCCUACGCUCAUAGUGACACGACCCAAUUUCCCUUAUAGGCCGUAAUGGCGCCCAACGUAGUCGCUAGGCAAGCCAACGGUGAAUUAGCCGUGUAUUUAUUCUUUUUAUAAAUUUCAAAGUAGUUGAUUUUUAUUUAUUAAAUAAGUGAGAAGUGGAAAAUUUAAUAAAGUAAAGCGAAAAUUAAUGAAAGAGCAAAUGCAAUGAAAUAAAUGCUCAAAAGCCAUAAAGUCUACUAGCAAGUUUACAAGACCCGGUGUCACAAGUGUAUGAGCAACUAGUAGAAUAUACAAAUCACUAAGUUACUGUCUGAAAUAGAGUAGACAGAAAGUAAAUAUAAAAUAUAGACUCUGGGUGCUGCAGAACAGACUUAGAAAGCAGCUCACUACUAAGCCUCGAGGUAACGGGGGUGCAUGCCUGAAUGGACACUAGAUGCACAUGCCUCAAAUCCUACACGAUUAGUGCAGAAGUGUAGCGUGAGUACAUAAACAACAUGUAUCCAGUAAGUAUCCAUUCUAACCUCGAAGAAGUAGUGACGAAGGGUCGACAUUGACACUUACUAUGGGCCAAUAAUAAAAUACAGAAAUGCUAAAUAGGCAUGGAAUAUGUGAAUAAUAAAAAUAACUCAAUAGCAUGCAGUGAAUAAAUGAUUCUUUAACUGAUAGUAAAUUCCAAAACCCCGUUCUAACACAUACUAGUUCCAAAUCAACUUCGGUCAUUAAGUAAAUUAUAACCUCUCAAGCCAUAACAUAAUGUCAAGUGAAAUCGGGCUCUAAGUAUUAUCACGCACGAUUUAUGCCGAGGUCGUACAACCCGAUCCAAAAUACUGUGUGCACUGUCGAUGGUCGAACGACACAAACCAUAGAUGUAUCUAUUAUACUGCCGAAAUGAAUGACCCGCUCCCAUGAGAGUACAAAAGUUUACCUCGCUUGCGAAAGUACUUGCGACGCGAGAGUACAUGAAUUUCUCAGAGUUAUUAUGUAUUCCUCAAUUCUUCCCAAAAAUAAGAAAUCUAAAUUGGAAGUUUUCAACUUUAAAAUCUCUAGUCUCAGCUCUAUUUAAGAUAAUUAAUAUGCAUGACAAGCAUGACAGUACAAUUAAAUCAUGAUGUGAAUCUAAGACUACCCGGACAUCUCAUGGAAUAUAGCCGCGCGCGGACUCUCUUCACCUAGUGCGUACGUAGCUCCCCACACAAGUAAUACACAACAAAAAUACACCUAAGAGGAUGAGUUCCCUCUUACAAGAUUAGGCAAGAGACUUACCUCGUUCUCAAGCUCACUUGCGGUCCACUAGUCCACUCUAAAAGCCCCAAGUCGAUGCCGAACAAUUCGAAACUAGUCAAAUAUUACAUAAUUUAAUUAAUAUAUACUCAAAACUCCAUUAUUUAGCUAUUAGAGUAGUUACCCAACCCUAAUUGGGAGAUUCUUAAAAUUCGCCCCCAGGCUCACGUGCCCGAAUUCCGGAAAUUUUCGAAGAUAAAUAUUACCCAUAGCCUCACGAACUCAAAUAUAUAAUUUUUAUUUAAUUCCAUAACCAAAUUUCGUGGUUAAAUCCUAUUUCUAUCAAAACCCUAGGUUCUUCACAAAUCUCACAAGUUUUCACAAUCUUCCCAUGUUUAAUCUACCUAAAACCCCAUAAUUAACUUAAAAAUGGGUGGGAGUUACUUACCUUAGGAUAUUGAUGAGAAUCUCCCCUUAAAUGUGUUCUCAAAAUUGCCCAAGACCAAAUGAAAUGUGAGGGAAAAUGGCCUAAGUCUCGGAUUAAAAACCCUCACUGCCCAGCGACUCCCGCACCUACGACCACUUGAUCACAUCUGCGGAACCGCAAGUGCGGUCAAAAAGGUCGCACCAGUGAUCCCCCACUACCUCCAGCUUCCUCGCUUUUGCGGAUGGAGAGGCACUUGUGCGGUACCGCUUCUGUGGACUCCCUUCGCUUCUGGGUAUUCCUACCGCUUCUGCGACCCACAACCGGCUAGCCCAAGUCCGUAUCUGCGGAGCCUCGAUCGCUUCUGCGGGUGCACAGAUGCGGAAUAACCCUCACACCUAUGGCCACCCAGCUCCAGCCUUAGGUCCUCUUCUGCGACCACUGGUCCGCUUCGGCGAGGUCGCACCUGCAGCCAAAAUCUCGUAGGUGCGAAGGCACCAGAACUGAAGCACCAACAGUUCCCCCAAGCCAUUUCCGAGUCCGAGUCUGAUUCUAAUCCGUUUCACACACGGGGCCCCGGGACCCCAUCCAAUCAGACUCAUACAUCCAACAACAUGAUACAGACCCGCUCACAUGAUCAAAACACCAAAAUAACAUCUAGAAUUAAGAAUUGGACACCAAAACGCAUGAAUUCUACAUGAAACUCAAAAACUUCUAAAAACACUUCCGCGCGUCCGAUUUCUAUCAAAUCAACUCGGAAUGACGCAAAAUUUUGCAUGCAAGUCAUAAAUCACCAUACAGAACUACUCCCAGGCUCGAAAUCCCAAAUGGACCUCGAUAACACAAAAACCUACUCUAAACCAAACUUAAAGAACUUGAAAACCUUCAAUGUGCAAACUUCUAAUAUUAAGCGCCAAAAUGCUCCCGGGUCAUUCAAAACCCGAUCCGAAUAUAUGCCCAAGUCCAAAAUCAUCAUAGGAACCUAUUGCGACUGUCAAAUACCGGUUCCAAGGCCGUUUACUUAAAACGUUUACUCAAGGCAAACUUAACCAUUUUAAGCCAAUAUUAAGGAACUAAGUAUUCUGAUUUCAACCCGAACCCUUCCAAACCCGAACUAACCAUCCCCGCAAGUUAUAAAAUAGUAAAAACACGUAAGAGGAGUCUUAAUUAGGGGAUCAGGAAUCUAGAAAGCCUAACAACCGGUCGGGUCAUUACAUUCUCCACCUCUUAAACAAACGUUCAUCCUCGAACAGGUCUAGUAUCGUACCUGGAGUGCCGAAUAAGUAUGGAUAUAUGCUCCGCAUGUCCUUCUCGGUCUCCCAAGUUGCCUCUUCGACUAGUUGACCCCUCCACUGAACCUUUACCGCAGAAAUCUUCUUGGACCUCAAUUGGCGAACCUGUAUGUCAACAAUGGCAACUGGCUCCUCCUCAUAACCCAGGCUCUCAUCUAGCUAAAGCUGUAGUCUAACACAUGCGACCUAUCAGCAUGAUACUUCCAAAUCAUAGACACAUGAAAAUCCAGAUGAACUCCCAAUAGAUUGGGAGGCAAAGCAAGCUCAUAAGCAACCUCCCCAACUCGCCUUAAUAUCUCAAAUGGGCAUAUAAACCUUGGGUUCAACUUGCCCUUCUUCCUGAACCUCAUUAUUCCCUUCAUCGGCGAGACUUUCAAGAGAACCUUCUCGCCCACCAUAAAUGAUAAAUCACGCGCCUUCUAAUCCACGUAAUCUUUCUGUCUAGACUGUGUUGUGCAAAGUCGCUUCUGAAUCAACAUUUCCUUUUCCAAAGCAUCCUUCACAAAAUCAGUACCAUAUAACUUAGCCUCGCCGGGCUCAAACCAUCCGAUCGGCGAACGACAUCGCUGUCCAUAUAAAGCCUCAAAUAGAGCCAUCUCGAUGCUGGACUGAUAACUAUUGUUGUAAGAGAACUUGGCCAAAGACAAAAAUCGAUCCCACUGCUCUCCGAAGUCAAUCACACAUGCUCUGAGCAUAUCCUCCAAGAUCUAAACCGUCCGCUCUGGCUGCAUGUCGGUCUGCUGAUGAAAGGCUGUGCUGAGCUCUACCCGGGUCCUCAACUCACUCUGUACUGCCCUCCAGAAAUGCGAAGUAAACUGGGGGCCUCUAUCUGAUAUGAAGGAAACAUGCACACCAUGCAACCGAACAAUCUCCUGAAUGUAAAUCUGGGCCAAUCUCUUUGAAGAAUACAUAGUCACAACGGGAAUGAAGUAUGCCGACUUGGUCAACCUAUCGACAAUGACCCAAACUGAAUCAAACUUCCUCAAAGUCCGCAGCAACCCAACCACGAAGUCCAUAGUAAUGCGGUCCCAUUUCCACUCAGGUAUAACCAUUUGCUGGAGUAGGCCACCUGGCCUCUGAUGCUCAUACUUAACCUGCUAGAAAUUUAGGCACCUUACUACAUAUUCAACUAUGUCCUUCUUCAUCCGCUGCCACUAAAAUGCUGCCUCAGAUCGCGAUACAUCUUCGUAGCACAUGUAUGAAUAGAAUACCGAGAACUGUGUGCCUCUUCUAGAAUCUCCUCCAUCAAUCCGUCAACAUUAGGAAUACAUAGACGACCUAGGAGUCGCAGAACACCAUCCUCAUCAAUAACAACCUCCUUGGCACCACCUUGUAGUACCGUCUCUCUAAGAACCAACAAGUGUGGAUCGUCGUACUGACGAGCCUUAAUCUGCUCGAAUAAUGAAGACUGAGUGACGACGCAUGCAAGAACUUGCCUGGGCUCGGAAAUAUCCAACCUCACAAGUCUGUUAGCCAAGGACUAAAUGUCCAGCGCUAAUGGUCUCUCAUCUGCUGAAAUGAAUACCAAACUACCCAUACUCGCCGCCUUUCUGUUCAAGGCAUCCGCUACCACAUUCGCCUUGCCUGGAUGAUAAAAGAUGGUAAUAUCAUAAUAUUUUAGUAACUCUAGCCACCUGCGCUGCCUUAAACUGAGAUCCCUCUACUUGAACAAAUGCUGCAAGCUACGAUGAUCUGUGUAAACCUCACAGGACACCCCAUAAAGAUAAUGCCUCCAGAUCUUAAGAGCAUGAAUUAUCGCGACCAACUCCAAAUCAUGCAUGGGGUAAUUCUUCUCGUGGGGCUUCAACUUACGUGAAGCAUAUGCAAUAACUCGCCCUCCUGCAUCAAUACACAACCUAUGCCAACUUGUGAAGCGUCGCAAUGCACAAUAUACAUUCCUGAACCGGAAGGCAACACUAACACCGGUGCUGAAGUCAAGGAGGUCUUGAGCUUCUGAAAGCUCGCCUCACAUUCGUCGAACCAUAGGAAAGGAGCACCCUUCUUGGUCAAUCUAGUCAAAGGUGCUGUAAUGGAUGAGAAGCCCUCCACAAACCGACUAUAAUAACCUGCUAACCCUAAGAAGCUCCUAAUCUCUUUCACUGUGGUAGGACGAGGCCAACUCUAAACUGCCUUGAUCUUCUUGGGAUCUACCUUAAUACCCCCGCCUGAUACAACAUGCCCCAAGAAUGCCACAGAAUCCAACUAGAACUCACACUUGGAGAACUUAACAUAUAGCUUCUGUUUUCGCAAGGUCUGAAGCACCACUCUCAAAUGCUGCUCGUGCUCCUCCAUGCUACAUGAGUAGAUUAAUAUGUCAUCAAUGAAGACAAUGACAAACAAGUCAAUAUAUGGCCGGAACACCCAAUUCAUCAAGUCCAUAAAUGCCGCCAGGGCGUUAGUCAAACUGAAGGACAUCACUAGAAACUCAUAGUGGCCAUAUCUAGUUCGGAAAGCCGUCUUCGGAACAUCUGAAUCAUGAAUAUUCAAUUGAUGAUACCCCAUUCUCAAGUCAAUCUUAGAGAACACCUUUGCACCCUGCAACUGGUCAAACAAAACAUCAAUACGCGGCAACAAGUACUUUUUCUUAAUGGUAACUUUAUUCAACUGGCGGUAAUCGAUGCACAUUCUCAUAGUCCCAUCUUUCUUCUUCACAAACAACACAGGUGCACCGCAAGGCGACACACACGGUUUGAUGAACUCCUUUGCUAUCAACUCCUCAAGCUGCUCUUUCAACUCCUUCUACUUUUUCGAAUCCAUGCGGUACGGUGGAAUAGCGAUAGGCUGGGUACCUAGAGCCAAAUCAAUACAGAAAUCGAUAUCACGAUUUGGUGGCAUGCUUGGAAGAUCAGCAGGAAACACAUCAGAGAACUCCCAUGCCACGGGCACUGAAUCAAUCACUGGAGUUUCUGUAGUAGUAUCCCGAGCCUAAGCUAGAUAAGCCAAAGAACCCUUCUCGACCAUGUGCCGAGCCUUUAGAAAAGAGAUAACCCGACUAGGUGCACUAACGGACGAGCCCUUCCACUUUAAUCUAGGCAACUCUGGCAUCGCCAAGGUAACAGUCUUGGCAUGGCAAUCAAGGACAACAUAAUAUGGAGACAACCAGUCAAUGCCUAGGAUGACCUCAGAGUCGGUCAUAUCAAGCAACAGAAGAUCUACUUUAGUCUCACAACCACAGAAAGUCACGAUAUAGGACCGAUAGAUCCGAUCCACAACAACAGAAUCGCCCACUGGCAUGGACACAUAAACAAGAGCACCGAAGGAUUCGCGAGGAAGACCUAGAAAAUGAGAAAAUAGACAUGAAACAUAUGAAUAUGUAGAUCUUGGAUCAAAUAGUACCGAAGCAUCCUUACCGCAGACAUAAAUGAUACCUAUGAUCCCGACAUCUGAGGCUACUGCAUCUGGUCUGGCUGGAAAGGCAUAGAACCUAGCUAGAGCGCCACCUGACUGGCCUCCACCUCUAAGAUGGCCCCUACCAACCUGCCCUCUGCCUCUGAGCGACCGGACGGCUGGUGCGGUAGCUGGUGCUGUAAUCAUAGGCUGAUGACCCUGCUGUACAGCCUUGCCCCGGAGUCUGGAGCAAAAUCUCUUCAUGUUGCCAGGAUCCCCGCACUCAAAACAACCCCUCGGAAUGGUGGACUGCUGACCUAAAGUCUGACCCUGAUGUCCUAAAUACCCACUAGAGGAACCCUGAAUAGCUGGCAGGCGGUAGGCGCUCUCUGGAAUAGCGUAAAAUAGGGCCGCACUGGAUAUGUGGUCCUGCUAGACUGACCCCUCACAAACUGACCUGUGCCCCCAAUCAUAGCACCACUGAACCCUUCAGAAUAUUGAAACCGCUUGUCCCUUGGCAUCUGCUCUCAUCUCCGCUGACGAACACCUUUGAUCCUCCGAGCUAUCUCUACAACUAACUCGUAAGAGGUCCCCAUCUCAACCUCUCGGGCCAUAGUGGCCUGGAUACCAGAGUGCAAACCUGCAAAAAACCUCCGCACUCUCUCUGCAUUGGUAGGAAGUAUCAAAAGUGUAUGGCGAAACAACUUAGAGAAUCUCGCCUCAUAGUCGGUCACCGAAAUCAGACCCUGCCAGAGCUGCUCGAACUGAAAUCGCAACUCUUCCCUCUGAGAGGGUAGAAUAUAUCUAUCCAGGAAGAGGCGUGCGAACUGAUCCCAAGUCAAGGUUGGAGAACCUGCUGUCCUGCCGAGAAGAUAGGGAUGUCACCAUCUACGGGUCCUGCCCUCUAGCUGAAAGGUGGUAAAGUUCACCCCGUGGGACUCCAGUAUCCUCAUGUUGUGCAGUCUAUCCCUGCAAUGAUCAAUAAAGUCCUGGGGGUCCUCAUGUCACUCAUCUCCAAAGACAGGAGGAUGUAGCCUGGUCCAUCUAUCCAAUAGCUUUUGCGACUCGCCGCCCGCAGUCGGUCUGGGCUCAGGUAUAGCUGCUGCAACUAGCUGAGCUCCGCCCACAGGUAGUGUGCCCAGGGUUUGAUAUACGAUAACUGCAUGCUUUGGAGCCUGAGCGGUAGGGAUCUAUGCUCCCCAUCCCGCCUAAGAUAUGGUUGGGUCUGCUAGAAAUAAACCAGCUUGAGUCAUAGAAUCCAUGAACCGCAACUUACGGCCCAUCGCCUCCUGGAAUCCUGGUUCAGACAUGAAGUCCACUGGGGCUGGCUCCGCUACAGGCACCUCGCCCUGCUCCUUAAUAGCAGGAUCCUCCACUGGAUCCACUGGUGGCACAACUGGAGCAACUCUAGGACGUCCUCGUCCUCUACCACGAGCUGGGGCCUUUCCUUUGCCUCUGCCUCGGCCUCUAGCAACAGGGACAACUGCUCCUUCAUGGUUGGGUACAUCUGCCGUGCGCGUUCUCUCCAUCUGUGAGAGAAUAAGAGAAAGACACUUAGCACAACAUCAACUGCAUGAUAGGAUAUGAAGAAAGUGUUGUUUCCUAACACCCUAUAGCCUCUCGAAGAUAAGUACGGACAUCUCCGCACUGAUCCGCAAGACUCUAUUAGGCCUGUUCAUAACUUGUGAGACCUACAUGAACCUAAUGCUCUCAAUACCUCACAACAUAAAUUCAUGUUCCUGACACAUUCCACAUGUCCAAACCAAGCACCAAAAUGAAAACCGGGUGCCUACGCUCGUAGUGACACGACCCAAUUUCCCUUAUAGGUCGUGAUGACGCCCAACGUAGUCGCUAGGAAAGCCAACGGUGAAUUAGUCUUGUAUUUAUUCUUUUUAUAAAUUUCAAAGUGGUUGAUUUUUAUUUAUUAAAUAAGUGAGAAGUGGAAAAUUUAAUAAAGUAAAGCAAAAACUAAUGAAAGAGCAAAUGCAGUGAAAUAAAUGCUCAAAAGCCAUAAAGUCUACUAGCAAGUUUCCAAGACCUAGUGUUACAAGUGUAUGAGCAACUAGUAGAAUAUACAAAUCACUAAGCUACUGUCUGAAAUAGAGUAGACAGAAAGUAAAUACAAAAGAGACACUCCGGGUGCUGCAGAACGGAAUCAGAAAGCAGCUCACCACUAAGCCUCGGGGUAACGAGGGUGCGUGCCUGAAUGGACACCAGAUGCACCUGCCUCAGAUCCUGCACGAUUAGUGCAGAAGUGUAGUAUGAGUACAUAAACAACAUGUAACCAGUAAGUAUCCAGUCUAACCUCGAAGAAGUAGUGACGAGAGGUCGACAUCGACACUUACUAUGGGCCAAUAAUAAAAUAUAGAAAUGCAAAAUAGGCAUGGAAUAUUUGAAUAAUAAAAAUAACUCAAUAGCAUGCAGUGAAUAAAUGAUUUUUUAACUGAUAGUAAAUUCCAAAAUGCCCAUCUAACACAUACUAGUUCCAAAUCAACUUCGGUCAUUAAGUAAAUUAUAACCUCUCAAGCCAUAACAUAAUGUCAAGUGUAAUCGGGCUCUGAGUAUUAUCACACAUGAUUUAUGCAGAGGUCGUCCGACCUGAUCCAAAAUACUGUGUGCACUGCCGAGGGUCGAAUGACACGAACCAUAGAUGCAUCUAUUAUAUUGCUGAGGCGAAUGGCCCGCUCCCAUGAGAGUAGAGAAGUUUAACUCGCUCGCAGAAGUACUUGCGACACGAGAGGACAUGAAUUUCUCAGAGUUAUUAUGUAUUCCUCAAUUCUUUCCAAAAAUAAGAAAUCUAAAUUAGAAGUUUUCAACUUUAAAAUCUUUAGUCUCAACUCUAUUUAAGAUAAUUAAUAUGCAUGACAAGCAUGACCAUAGAAUUAAAGCAUGAUGUGAAUCUAAGACUAUCCGGACAUCUAAUGGAAUAUAGCUGCACACGGACUCUUGUCACCUAGUGCGUACGUAGUUCCCCACAUAAGUAAUACACAAUAAAAAUGCACCUAAGGGGAUGAGUUCCCUCUUACAAGGUUAGGCAAGAGACUGACCUCGUUCCCAAGCUCAUUUCCGGUCCACUAAUCCGCUCUAAAAGCUCUAAGUCGAUGCCGAACAAUCCAAAACUAGUCAAAUAUUACAUAAUUUAAUCAAUAUAUACUCAAAACUUCAUAAUUUAGCUAUUAGAGUAGUUACCCAACCCAAAUUGGAAGAUUCCUAAAAUUCGCCCCCGGGCCCAGGUGCCUGGAUUCCUGAAAUUUUCGAAGAUAAAUAUUAUCCAUAGCCUCACGAACUCAAAUAUAUAAUUUUUAUUUAAUUCCAAAACCAAAUUUCGUGGUCAAAUCCCAUUUCUACCAAAACCCUAGGUUCUUCACAAAUCUCACAAGUUUUCACAAUCUUCCCAUUUUAAUCUACCUAAAACCUGCAUAAUUAACUUGAAAAUAAGUGGGAAUUACUUACCUUAGGAUAUUGAUGAGAAUCUCCCCUCAAAUGUUCUCUUAAAAUUUCCUAAGACCAAAUGAAAUGUGAGGGAAAAUGGCCUAAGACUCGCAUUAAAAACCGUCACUGCCCAGCGACUCCCGCACCUGCAGCCACUUGAUCGCAUAUGUGGAAUCACAAGUGCGGUAAAAAAGGUCGCACCUGCGAUCCCCCACUGCGUCCAGCUUCCUUGCUUCUGCGGACGGGGAGGCACUUCUGUGGGACCGCUUCUGCGGACUCCCUUUGCUUCUGCAGUUGCCUACUGCUUCUGCGACCCAUAACCGACCAACCCAAGUCUGCAUCUGCGGAGCCUCGAUUGCUUCUGCGAGUGCACAGAUAUGGAACAACCCUCGCACCUACGACCACCCAACUCCAGCCUCAGGCCCGCUUCUACGGCCACUUGGCCGCUUCUGCGAGGUCGCACCUAUGGCCAAACUCUCACAGGUGCGAACGCACCAGAACUAAAGGACCAACAAUUCCCCCAAGCCAAUUGCGAGUCCGAUUCCAAUCCGUUUCACACCUGGGCCCCCCCAGGACCCCAUCCAAUCAUACUCUCACCUCCACCAACAUGAUAUGGACCCACUCGCACGAUCGAAACAUUAAAAUAAUAUCAAUAAUUACGAAUCGAACACCAAAAUGCAUGAAUUCAACAUGAAACUCAAAACAUCUAAAAACACUUCUGCGUGUCCGAUUCCUAUCAAAUCAACUCGGAAUGACGCCAAAUUAUGCGUGCAAGUCAUAAAUCACCAUACAGAACUACUCCCAGGCUCGAAAUCCCAAACAAACCUCAAAAACACGAAAACCUACUCUAAACCAAACUUAAAGAACUUGAAAACCUUCAAUGGGCCAACUUCUAAUAUUAAGCGCCGAAAUGCUCCCGGGUCAUCCGAAACCAAUCCGAAUAUACGUCCAAGUCCAAAAUUAUACAAACCUAUUGGGACCGUCAAAUCUCGGUUCCGAGGUCGUUUACUCAAAAUGUUGACUCAAGUCAAACUUCACCAUUUUAAGCCAAUAUUAAGGAACUAAGUGUUUCGAUUUCAGCCCGAACCCUUCCAAAACCGAACUAACCAUCUCUGCAAGUCAUAAAAUAGUAAAAACACAUAUGAUGAGUCUUAAUUAGGGGGACAGGGAUCUAGAAAGCCAAACGACCAGUCGGGUCAUUACACGUAGGGCCCAAAGUAAUAUGAGUAAUCACCUGACCCUGGAGGGACGGAUCCUCAAAGCGUUGUUCAUUUAACAAUUAAUGAUCGAUAACCAAUAUAUCAAUUUCUGCUCAUGGUGUAUGUAAUGCCAAAAUCCUCAACUUUUCACAACAACCAAAUCUCAACACAUGCAUAUGUGUAUGAACCAAUAUAAUAAAGAAGCAUUGGACAUAACAAUAAGAAUGUAAAAGCUCAUAUAGCUAAAAGACGACGAUCAUGCAAUUUAAUUUAUCACAACAGAUCAAUAAUCUAUUUAAGCAUGCACAAAUCUAAUCAUAUUAUCUAACAUGAGUCAAUUAAGCCAUAUAACCACCAAAUCAUGGAGAAAAUAAGAUAAAUGUAAGACUAUGGAUUAAUAAUAAAUCUCAACAUGGAAAAAUAAUCCUUUAUAUCUGAUUCAACAAGUCAUAAACUUAAGAAUGCUCCUAAAUCAUAAUUAUGAAUCAUCACAUAGUAUUAGAAUCAAUUUGAAACAUAGAUAAUAACUUCACAUAAUCCAAACAGGGCAUAACUCAAGUUAGCACUACUAGAUAUGGUCAUGACCUAGAUAUGCAUAUACACACUUCACCUCGAAUAUACGUGGCUCCUAAAUCAAUCACAAGUAGCAAAUAGAUCACCUAUGUGGAGAAUUCUCUUUUACAAGGAUAAACAAGAGACUUACCUUCAUUUGGUAAGCUUCAACUUUCUAAAAUAUCUUUCCCUCACAAAUCAACCUCCAAACGACUCGAAUCUAGUCAAAUACAACUUAAUAACGUCAAACAAAGCCAUAAGAAUCCAUUCCAAAUAGUAAAUCUUCUUAAUCAAAUUUCCAAGAGUCAACAAAAGUCAACUUAGGCUCACAUGGUCAAAACCCAAGUCAAGGGAUAGAUCCUGACUACCCAUAACCUCAUGAGUCUAAAUAUGUGAUUAGAUUUCAAAAUCGAGUUCAAAUCGGUACUCAAAUCCCUAAAUUACACUCUCUUAAAUUGUAGACAAAUACCUCAAAUUUUCUUUUGAAUUUCAUAAUAAGUGUAUAAAUUCAUGGGAAAACAAGAUAUAUGAUCAAAAUCAAUUAUAAAUCACUUACUCUCAAAGAGGUAGGGAAAAUCCCUUCCAAAAUCGCCUAUUGCCGAGCCCAAAAUAGUGAAAUAUGAGCUAACCCUUGAUAAAUGACCAAAAGUUCUUGAUUUUGACGGUGUUUUAUUGCAUUUGUCGUGUGAGUUAAGGAGAUUACAUGAUUUUUGAAGUGAAAUAUACUCAUUACGUGUUUUUUGUGUGCAGGAGUGAGUUCAGAUGAUAAUGGAUCACAAGAUAUUAAAUUGUUGCAAAAAAGAAAAAAAUGGACGGAUUGGGAGCUCAUCUAUUCUCGUGCGUGGCACGAAAAUGGAUGCAAAAAAGGAGAAAUCUGAAGGCGCAAAAUUGUAAAGUGAAUCAAAGGCACGUGUUGCUUCGUGAAAUGGAAGAAUUUCAUAAGCUGAAUCCGCGUCCAAGGGCGCACGACACGCGAGCGUAGAUGCGGAUUCCAGCUUUCCAUCCGAGUUUGGGUUGAUUGGUUCUGCCCCAUAUCAACCCUAAGUGAUAUAAAUACAUCAAAUAACAACAUUUUAAGGGUUACACAACAUCUUUGAAGGCAAGAACAAGCAAGGAGCAAGGCGGAAGAUUCAGAAAUGAGUUUUUAUCUUUCUUCUUUCUUUUUAUAUUAUUUGUUAUGAAUUCUAAUAUUGUAGCUGUGAAAACAAUUAUGAGUAGCUAAACUCUUUUAUCUAGGGUUUGAUGGAACCUCUUGGAGGAUGAAUUUUCGUUGAGUUUAAUAUAAGUUUGCCAUUGAAUUUUCUAUACUUGUUCAACUACGUAAUUAUUGUUGUUAAUUGAAGGACCCUCAAUUGACUAUACCUAUUUAGUAUGUAUUGCUUGGAAAAGGGUACAUAUUUUCACACCCUGAUCUCGGGGAGCGCGACCGGCGCUCAACCGAGAUAACCCGAUCAAGCAAGCCUUCUAGAAGCUUUUUACCCGACCUUACCCAUGAAUAGAGUGAAGACGUAUUCCAUUACUUAAACCAUGAGAGGAUUUCAUGAACAACACCAAUUCCAUUAUCAUUAGCUAAUACAUUUACAAUUCCCGAAAAUACAUUACACUUUCAUAGUUUGAAGUGGAACAUGUGAUACAAAUACAACAUUUCUAGUUUGACUUUUCAAGAUCAAUAUACAACCCACACCAUAUCUAAGGAGCCUCUAUUGGAUAUUUUGGUAGCUUGAACCUUUCCGAUAGUUGAUCCUAUAUUAGAGGACUAGAGAUGAGAUAAACUUAUAUUUUAAAUAAAUAUGCUCAUGAUAUGUGCCAAAAUCUGAAACAUCCACCUGAAGUGGGGAGGGAAAGGUCGCGGUAAGGCUACUUAACUUCAACCAUACACGAGUGAAACCAUGUAGCUAGGACAUCUUAAUUUUAGGAUUAAAUCAUGCAUUGGUUAGAGAGGUUCUAAUGGUUAUUAUGAUGCUCCAGGGAGAAAGGCAAAUAAAACUCCUAUCCACCCAGGGAUGUGGAAUAUUAAGGAUAGUAAACUCUCCGCACAUGACAAUGGUAGAGUAAAUGAUUCGAGAAGCUGAGUGUUUAAAGAUAAUGGAACCUAAUGAGGCACUAUAGAAUAAUCAUGGGAGGUUUGCUAAUGUUCAUAAUGAGUUCACCAUAGGUCUUGUGACUUUAAAAGUACCUAGAGGCUAAUGAAGGAUGGGAAAACAUGAGAAGCAGACAUGAUGCUAUGAUAACCCCAAAAGUGCAUUCGGUCUUGACGGAGAGCCUAUUAUGGAUCCUUAUGAGAAAGGAAGUGUUACAACGACAUAUGGAAGGACGCGAUCUUUCAUGAUUAUCCAACAAGUGUCGAAAACUAGCACAAUGAAUUCACUAACUAAGGAAUACAGUCAGAACAUGUUGUAGAAGUGUAAAGAGAGAGUGGACACUUGUUAUGAGCUGGACAUGUUUUUUCUAUAAUAAAUCUCAAACUGCAAUACCAGGCCACGUCAUGGGCAACUACAAUACUAGGAACAAAGUGAGCUACUUACUACAGAAUGAUCUAAGUGGUCAUGAAAGUUAUAUUGAUAUGGGCAAGCGAAAGAUCUUCCUAUGACGAAUUUGUGAGAAUCUCAAAUUUUAGAGGAACCUUAUGUGGACAAUUGAUUUGUUGGUUGACACACAUAUAUGAUAGUUGCUGAGAUGUGCUCUUAUGUUAUCGGACAGUAAAAAUGAUUCAUGAUAAUGUUCACAAAGGGAGUAAAAUGACUGUUCAAACCACAUGAGCCACAUACACAGGAAAGGGAGAGAGAGUGUGGCUUAAGAAAGAUCUCACGCUAGGCUGCUUUACAUUAGAUUUGAUUCCAUGUAGGUAAAUGUUAUGAUGGUGCCUGCACAAGUGAGAAAAUGUUACCCAUUUGAAUCGGAAGGUUAUACAAGAAAUUUAUUAGGUAUAGUCCCUGGUUGAGAAUUUAUGGAAGCAAGCGGGAAGUAUUAACCUAGGGUUAUGACUCAAUUUGAGGAAAUCAUUAUAGAGCUCAGUUCCUCAAGAGAUUGUAAGUAAGAGAAUUGUGAUAAAGAGGCUUCACGAAUAAUGCAUCUCGUUCAAAGAGUAGAUACAUGCAACGUUUUGUGAUUCAGUGACUUGCUAAGACCAUAUUUAUGUUGGCUCUUCAAUGCAGAUGUACGUAUACAACAAGGAAAGGUAUGUGGUGUUCAUAAUGAUGUAGCAAGGAGUGACUUACUUGGUGACUUUAGGUUGAUGGGGCAAUGCCUUAACUGAUGCCCUUUGACUCCAGAUCCAUAACAUAUAUUGGUACCAUAGUGACAUAACCCCAAAUGACAUGUCCUACACUUCUCGCAACGAGGAUGAGGUCUAGUAAACUGACUCACCUUACUGACCUGAUUUUUACCCUUUUUGCAUACCACAUAAGCAUCCCCCCUAUCCUUUCUCCAGGCCCCCAUGGUAGGAUUAACAAUCUCUGUACCGGCUUGCUGUGUGGGCCUUUGGAAUUGCCCAAGCCUGCUACCCCUAACACGUUCCUGAGCAUACUCACAACACAAUGCCAAAUGUUCUUUCCCGCAUAUCGGGCAUACCGGGAUGAGUGUAACCAACCUAGGGCAUUUGUUAUUCUUGCGCCCCCUCUUUCUACAACCAAAACAUAUUUCAGGAGUCAUCGAACACGUCCCCAAGUGGUGCUUCUUACAAAUCAAACAAUCUGGCUUAUUGGUACCAACAACCCUCUUUCGUUGGUGCGGUGACAUUAAUAAGAACAAGGACACUUACCCUAGCAACUAGUUCUUCUAACCCAUUCACAGCCAGACCCAUUCUCCCAAUGAACUCUUGUGUAAUCUCCCCCCAGAUUCAAUGGCGGGGUCAUUCCCUCCUCAGGAAAGGAGACAUGAUGAGGAAAUUAGCUUCCUAUCUUGUGCUCUAUCGCAUGAUCUGGGGUAUCAAAGAAGGGUAACAUUCCUAAAUGUCCAAGUAACCUCUAAAUUAUAGAUGUGGUCGACAACACACCGAUAAGAAAGACUCUACUAGACACGGCUCCGAGACAUCCUAAAACACUUUAAAACCUUAGGCUCUGAUACCAAGUUUGUCACGCCCCGACCUGGGGGAGCGUGACCGGCGCUCAACCGAGAUAACCCUGCCAAGCAAGCCUUCUAAAAGCUUUCUACCUGACCUUACCCAUGAAUAGAGUGAAGAUGUAUUCCAUUAAUUAAACAAUGAGAGGAUUUCAUGAACAACACCAAUUCCAUUAUCAUUAGCUACUACAUUUACAAUUCCCGAAAAUACAUUACACUUUCAUAGUUUGAAGUAGAACAUGUGAUACAAAUACAACAUUUCUAGUUUGACUUUCCAAGACCAAGAUACAAGACACACCAUGUCUAAGGAGCGUCUAAUGGAUACAAAAGAGUAAUAUGAUAGUGCCGGAAAUAAGGCCCCGACUAUACCUCAAAACACUAUACAUAAGGAACAAAAAUACAAGACCCUAGAACGAAGUGGGGCUUACCAAGUCAGCUGAGGAGAGGGUGUACCUAUAGCACUGAGCGAUGCCGUCUGCUGUGGACCCACCUGCAUGCAUUAAAAAAGCAGCGCCCCCAACAAAAUGGACAUUAGUACAUAUGGAAUAGUACUAGUAUGUAAGGGUAAACACCCUCUCAAAGAAUCGAGUAACAGUACAAGGAGGGACAACAUAGAAUUAAUGAAAGCCUUAAGCAAUAUAAAAGCAUCAAGUUAGAAGAAAGAUACGUUUUCAAGGAAAUUUCAAUAUUAUAGGUUGGGAGAUCUUUAGCACCAAUAUACCACCGUUGUUUUAGCACGUAGUCCGAGCACGGCCCGAUCGGCUAAACCAUCUCACCCAAAGACAUCCAAUCAUAAUACCACCGUACUUUUAGCACAGAGUUCGAUCUCAGACCGAUCGACUAAGCCGUCUCACCCCAAGACAUCUUACCACAACACCACCAUGUGCGCAGCAUGGCAUCCGAUCUCGACCCGAUCGGCUACAUCAUCUCCCCACAUAUGCCAUGUGAGUCGACAUCUAAUCCAAGGUUAGCAAAAAUCUCAUCCCAAUCAAGGGGAAAAAAUCAACAUAUCAAUCUCAUCCCAUUUAAGGGAACCAAUCUCAACAUAUCAGUACGGGGAUUUACCCCUCAAUCACACCUACACCGGCACAUGUAGUUUCGGGGUUAGGUUGUUUCAACCUACCCUUCUUCGGUGACUAAUGAUACUCCCAAAAAUAUUUUUGUUUUGCACAUAAAGAAAACAGAAAUACAAAUACAUUCACCUCAUAACCUUUCACACCAUAUAUAACUUCAUUAGUACUUUCAACCACUCACAACAAUAUUAUUUCACUGGCUCUCUUGGACACACAUAUGAUUCUUCAUUCAUGGCACGAUGGCCGCAUCUCAUAUUCCACUCUUUCAUUUCUUUACUUUCAAGGUUCAUCAUCAUAAACAUCAACAUAUAGAAUAUUAUGGAAAUCAUAACUCNNNNNNNNNNNNNNNNNNNNNNNNAUACACAAUUUCAACUCAUGAAUAUGUAAGAACUCAAAACACAUUAGAAAUUCUUACAAAGCAUAGCAUGGUGAUUUAAAAUUGAAACAGGGGUUCAAAUCACAGGAAUUAGUUAAAACAACAACAUUUGAACAUGACUUGAGUACAUAAGCUUUUAGACAAAUCUAUCUUCAGAGUCGAUUUGGAACAGUUGAAUCAAGGCUCAUUUUCAUAAUCUUUCACACAUCAUUUCAUUUCAUUGGCACUAUUGGCCACAAGUAUAACUUUUAUUCUUGGCACGGUGGCCGCACUUUAUAUUUCCAACUCACUUCUUUCACUUUCAAGCAUCAUUAUAGAUUUUCAACAACAAGAGCAUUCGAAAUCAAGGCCUUGAGUAUAUAUAUGAGCAAUAUGAGUCUUAGGCGCAUUGAGUUUUCUUUCCAAGUUAAGCAUAAUAGACUUUCAUUUAGACCCGAAUUGAAGUCAUAACAUUUUAAUACAUAAACCAUACUUGAACAUAUUCUAGAAGAGAUCAUAAUAAGAUAGGAGCAAUUGGUACACGUUUUGAGUAUAUGCAUCUUUCAACACAACGCUUACUUGGAAUAAUCGAAUUUAUUAGGAACAACUCGGAACAUGGGAAUUAGGAAUCUGGGCUGACCAUACUUGAAACUUACAGGAACAUCAUGGAAUUUGAGUCUAAGAGAGAGGUUUAGCCAACAUACCUUGCUUGAGCUUUCCUUAGGUUAGUACAACAUCCCAAUACUCUUAGAAAAUUCAAUCUAUAGGAAAAUGGGGAAAAGUUGAAUAUUAAUUGGAAGGAUUCUCAUGAUAUAACUCUCUUGGGAAUUUCGUCAAACACUUACUAUGCAAAAUCGACUACAAAGCUCUACAAUGGUUAUCCCUUCGUCCCUCGACCAAUUUCAAUAAUAAACUACCCGAAAUAGUUCAACAACCCCACAUACUACCUCUUAUUAGCACACGGAUGGCCUAACUCCAACCCCACAACAUACUUAAACCCAUAACAUCUUGUAUGAAAACUUAGGAGAAGGACUUACCCGGAUAGGUGAUGGUUUAGUGAAUGGCUUCCUUGAUUCUUGAAGAUUGGGGAAAGAAUGGAUGAGUAAAAUUGCUAGGUCUUCUCCCUCUCUCUCUAAGAUACUCUCACUUCUCUCUAAAAAUAUCAGAUUUUUGCCUUCAAAAUGAGCCACAAAGGCUUUUCAUCAAAAUGGGGUCGGGUUAUAAAAAUAAAAAAUGGACCAUCUGAACUCAACUCUGUAGGCGCAGAGUGGACCGCAUAACAGAUAUCCGGCUCGCAUAAGGGGCCGCAAAAUUAACUUCAAAAACUGGGCUGGCCUGGACAAGUCUGCGGCCAGGUCUGCGGUCCGCAGACCAGUUAUGCGACCGCGAAAUGGACUGUAGAAUCACCCUAAAAAAUUAUUCAUGCCAAAUAUGUGAUGGAAGUGCAGACCGUGAAACAGAUGUGCGAUCCAUACUAUACCGCAAAACAACCUUAAAAAUUAAAAUAUUUUUCUCCUCAACUCCGCAAUGAUUAUGCGCCCCGCAAAAUGGUUUUGCGGUCGUGAAAUUGACCGCAUAUUUGCCUUCUUCUGCGAAAAAUUUCCAUCAACUCCUCAUUGCAUUCUUCAACCCAAAAAGUUCAUACCGCAGCGAUCAAGCUUAUCGCGAUGAUUAACUACUACCUUCGAACACAUUAGCCUAUCUCGGCACUACAAAACUCGAAUUUCUUGGCAAAACAUUUACGGGGCCUUACACAUAUUUAGGUAAUUAUUGAACAAAAUCACUCCUAACGUAUUUGAUGAAUCAAUACGAAGGGUUUAUAGAAAGGAUUAGGAAUAACGAAACCUUGAUAUGAUCUUAGUGAGUAGUAAUUUAGUGCCAGCUAGCGUAGUUCGGGAGAAUACGUCUAGUAAAUUAUUGUAGUUUCUCGGAAGAGAAUUACGACAUAUAAAGUGCUCAUGAUUGGUAAAAAAUACUUAGGCUAAUUUAUAGGAGGCGUAGCGGGGAAGACUCCGACAAUAGGGAAAAUGAUAAGUCUAGACUUUUCCAAUCUUGUCUACAUCCUUCGUUUUAGUAGUAAUAAAGUUACAACCUUUUAAUUACUUGACUUUUAGUUAGAAAACAAUUUUCUAGAAGUUGAUUACUUCAAGUAUUGAGAAACUAGUAGUUAUGAUUAGUAGGAUGAUUCCAUGUAGGAUUCGACUCUGGACUUGUAAAUCGAAUUAUAUUUAGGACAACCACUAGACCUUUUAGGAGGCAUAGUUAGGCGCGCUCAAAUUUUAGCGCCAUCGUCAGGGAAUUUAACAGUGUUAUUAAUUAUAGUGAGAAGAAUGGCUAAGAUUCUUAGUUUAGUCAACUUUCUUGAUUUUAAUUUCAUUACAUUGAAAUUCUGAAAUUUGUUGUCUUGUGUGAUACAGGUGCAUGCCUAGAAACUCCUCGAGAACUGGUGAAUUGUUUGAAGCAUUACCGGACCCUGAGAAAGCUUUCAAGGCAUUAAAUCGUACAAACAAGAAAGACGAAUGACAACAGAACCCAACAAAACAAAUUGAUUUAGACAUAGGUGACGUCAUAGACAAUCAAAACAACAAAAACAAUGGGAACGACCCAAACAAUCAGGGUAUGGCACCUCUUGUGCCAGAAGCAGCCAUUUAUGAUUGGGCAUAACCACCACUAAAAAUAUAGCAACCGCAAUUGCAGUCCCUCAGAUACAAGCAGAAUCAUUUCAAAUCACGAAUAACAUGCUACAUCUACCACAUAACAAGAGACUAUUCUACGGGUCUCACAUUAAAGAUCCAUAACAACACCUAAAAAAUUUUCUGUUAAUUUGUGUCACUUAAAGGCAACUGAAUGUGACACUGGAAGCAAUCAGAUUGUUAUUGUUUCUAUUCUCAGUGACUGGAGAUGCUCAAACUUGGCUUCAUUCGCUCCCCAUAAACUCCAUCACUACCUGGAAGGAAUUAGUCAAGUAGUUUUUGAAAAUCUUCUAUCCACCUAAUAAGACUACAAAGCAUGUUGAUGAAUAUUGAGCUUCAGGUAGAAACCAACUAAAAUACUGCAAGAAAUGUGAGAGACGUUCAAAGUGAUGUUGGUUAAGUUCCCACACCAUGGCAUUCCAGAUCAGAUGUUGGGACAGAGGUUUUACAUGGGGCUAGCAGAUAUCUUGAAGGCUAACAUUGAUGCUUUAGCAAGUGGAGUAUGUUUUAGCAAAUCACUUAGAGAGUGUAAGGUCCUACUCGAUAAAAUGGCUCAAAACUCAGGAUGGAUGACAAGAGACAUUGUACUCACCCCUAUCAUUCACUCAGUAGCUCUGGACUUGAACAACUCUAUCUCCGAGAAUAUGGCCACUCUGAUGACUCAUAUGAGUAUCCUCACCAAGAAGACUAAUGAAUCAGUCCAAAAGCAGGUACACAUAGUUGAUACGACUAAUGGAGGAUUAUGCACACCAUGCAUUAAGCAACCAUAUGUGUGUUCAUAGAGCGGUGAAAGUGACAUCCAUAACUACCAUGAAAAUAUGAACUAUGUGAGCAACUUUGGGGGACAAAGACAAGGUGGACAGAGUGGGGGACAACAAAAUUAGCUGUAUAGGCUAGCACAAUAGUAGUACAACAAUAAUACUAAUCCUGGAGCAAUGAGACCACAAGGUCAAGUUCUGCCUUUGAUGUUCAGCCUUAUCAAACGCAAUAGGGAUACAAUCAGCAGAAUGAACAACUAGCUUAUCAACAACCUCAACAACAACAUAUAGCAAGACAAGAUGACAGGUUGUUUAAAAUUAAAGGAAUGCUACAACAACUCAUUGGGUCCAACAUGAAGAUGGAAGAAAGGGUCCAUCAGAUGCAAGAAAGGUAGUAUCACAUGACUUAGCUAUCAAGGGGAUUGAAAUUCAAUUGGGGAAAAUCUUUAUGGCUUUGAAUAAUAGUCCUUAGGGGACAUUGCCUGCAGAUACAAACAUCAACCCAAAGGAGCCAUGCCCAAAACAGCUGAUGAUCGUAAGUUUGAGGAAUGGUAGAGAUCUUAAUCUAGGGUAAGAAAUUGCUCGAGAAAGCCGACCAACUGCAACACUUGUGCUGGUACCACUUGAGGUAGAUGGAUCAACUGAUUUAACUAAGGUUACAGUACAAUAGGUGCAAUAGGAACCAAGAAAUGAAAAGGAGGUUACAAAGGAAAAAGUACUUGAGCAGGAAUCGUCUCAAGAUACAGGAAAGAAGCGACCUCCAGCACCCUUCUCGCAGAAGUUGGCUAAAUAUCAGAAGGAUGAGCAGUACAAAAAAUUCACGGAGAUGUUGAAGCAAAUUUAGGUGAACAUUCCACUAAUAAAUGCCUUGCGAGAGAUGCCAGGUUACGCAAAAAUGAUGAAAGACUUGAUGUGUCACAAGUUCGACUUUCAAGACCUAGCUACUUUGACAAUGAAUCAGACUUGUAGUGCUGUUGUUACAAGACCUGUAGCUGAGAAACUAUCCGAUCCUGGAAGUUUUACAAUUCCAUGCACCAUAGGUAGCUAUGCUUUUGACAAAACAUUAUGUGAUUUGGGGGCGAGCGUAAAUCUGAUGCCCUUGUCUAUCUAUAAAAAGUUAGGCAUUGGAAGAGCAUGGUCCACAUCUAUAUUACUACAGCUAGCUGAUCUAAUAGUGAAGAGAACAUCAGGUAUACUUGAUGAUGUACUUGUGCAGGUUGGGAGAUUUGUGUUCCCUGCAGAUUUUGUGAUUCUGGACAGUCAGGUUGAAGAGGAGAUUCCCAUAAUUUUGGGAAGGCCGUUCUUGACCACAGGGAGAGCUCUGAUUGAUUGUGAAACUAGGGAGCUAAAGAUGAGACUGAAUAAUGAAAAAAUAACAUUUAAUGUGCAAACGUCCAUGAGGUGACCCAAUGAGUUUGCUAAUUGAUCUCUAAUUGAAGCAGUGAUGUGAUAACGGAGGAGGAAGAUGAGACACUUCAUGCAAAAGACCCUCUAGCAGUCUGCCUCAUGAACUUAGAAGAGGUUGAUGGUGAGGACUUGUCGGAGUGGGUUUUGGAUCUUUAAAGCCAAGGGUACUGGAAAAGAGAGCUCUAAUUCGAGCAUUUACACUUAGAAGAAAGAAAGACCCCUCCGACUAAACUAUCAAUUGAAGUUCCACAAUAGUUGAAGUUGAAACCACUCCCAACUCACCUCAGGUAUGCUUUCUUGGGACCUAACUCGACUUUACAUGUUACUAUCUCACCUGAGUGAGCCCAGUUCAAUGUAUUCCGAAGAAAGGUGGAAUGACCGUGGUGCAAAACGAGAACAAUGAGCUGAUCUCAACAAGAAUGUUUACGGGAUGGCGAAUCUGUAUGGACUACAGAAGAUUGAACAAGGGCACCCGAAAAGACCAUUUCCCCCUGUGUUCAUCGAUCAGAUGUUAGAUAGGUUGGUAGGGAGGUUCCAUUUUUGCUUCUUGGAUGGAUACUCGGGGUAUAACCAGAUCUCUAUUACCCUAGAGGAUAGAGAGAAAACAUCAUUCACCUAUCCAUAUGACAACUCUGCUUUUCGGAGAAUGUCGUUUGGCCUAUGCAAUGCACCCACCACAUUCCAAAGGUGCAUAAUGGCCAUCUUUACUGAUAUGGUAUAGGAUAUACUGGAGGUCUUCAUGGAUGAUUUCUCAGUGGUGGGGAACUCGUUCAAUGAUUACUUUGUAAAUCUGAGAAGAGUGCUGAAGAGGUGUAUGGAGACUAAUCUGGUGCUAAACUGGGAAAAGUGCCAUUUUAUGGUACGGGAAGGUAAAGUCUUGGGACACCUAGUGUCAAGUAAUGGCAUUGAAGUGAACCGCGCUAAAGUUGAUGUGAUAGAUAAGUUGCCACCGCCCACUUACGUCAGAGAAAUAAGAAGUUUCCUUGGUCAGGAUGGCUUCUAUAGGAGAUUUAUAAAAGAUUUUUCCAAGAUUGCUCACCCUUUGUGUAAACUGCUUUAAAAAGAUCACCCCUUUAUGUUUUGAUGAUUGCAGGGUAGAUUUUGAGGAGUUGAAGAAGAGGCUGGUGACUGCACCAAUCAUAGAUACACCUGACUGGGAGCAACCAUUUGAGCUGAUGUGUGAUGCAAGUGACUAUGUUAUGGGAGCAGUUCUUGGGUAGUGCAAAGAGAAGGUCAUGCACCCAAUCUACUGUGCAAGUAGAACCUUAAGUGGUGUCCAACUAAACUACACAGUGACCGAGAAGGAGAUGCUAGUAGUGGUGUUUGCAUUUGACAAAUUCAGGUCAUACCUGAUAGGCGCUAAGGUAAUUGUUUAUAUUGACCAUGAUGCUCUCAGGUACUUAAUUGAUAAGGAGUCAAAGCCACGCAUAAUUUUAUGGGUGCUUCUACUACAAGAAUUUGACUUGGAAAUCCGUGACCGAUAUGGAACGGAGAACCAAGUGGUUGACCACUUGUCCAUGCUGGAAGGAGCACAGAAGAAAGUUGAGGUAGAAGAUAUCGUGGAGACGAUUAUGGAUGAACAACUAUUGUCCACAAGCCUUGAGGUAGCGCCAUGGUAUGCAAACACUGCAAACUACCUGGCGAGCGGUAUUGUUCCCUGUGACCUUUCCUCUGUACAAAAGAAUAAGUUCUUUUGUGAUUGUCACAUGUAGUAUUGGGAAGAGCCUUAUUUGUUCAGGAUUUGUAUUGAUAGCAUGAUCCGAAGAUGUAUCUCCGAGACAGACCAAUCUUCUAUUUUACAGGCUUGUCACGCGUCCCCGUAUGGUGGCCAUUUUGGAGGAGUAAGGACAAUUGUAAAAGUGUUGGAGUCGGGCUUCUACUGGCCGACAUUGUUAAAAGAUGCACACUUCUGGGUGAAGGGUUGUGAUGAAUGCCAACGGACCGGGAAUAUUUUCCGUCGACAUGAGAUGCCUAUGAAAGCAAUUCAGGAGGUGUAGGUGUUUGAUGUAUGUGGAAUCGAUUUUAUGGGACCUUUUGUCAGCUCAUAUAGCAACAAAUAUAUACCUGUAGUGGUGGAUUAUGUUUCAAAAUGGGUGGAAGCUGUGGCACUCCCUAAAAAUGAUGUAAAGGGGUCAUUGGUGUUUUGAGAAAGAACAUUUUCACCCGAUUUGGCACUCCAAGGGCAACAAUCAGUGAUGAAGGCACUCACUUUUGCAACCGAGCCUUCACAAAGUUGUUAGAGAAAUGUGGUGUUCGCCACAAGUUUGCCAUUCCAUAUCACCCACAAACGAAUGGACAAGUGGAGGUUUCAAACAUAGAAAUAAAGAGUGUUUUGACAAAGACUAUGAAUGCUACAAGAACGGAUUGGGCACAAAAAUUAGAUGAUGCAUUCUGGGACUAUCACACUACUUUCUAGACUCCAAUUGGCAUGUCUCCGUAUAAACUGGUAUUUGGGAAGGCAUGUCACUUACCCGUGAAGUUGGAGCAUAGAACUUUGAGGGUAUUGAGGCAACUGAAUCUUGAUAUGAAAGUUGCGGGUACAAAUAGAGUCACAGAGUUGCACGAGAUUGAUGAGUUUCAUUACCACACUUUUGAGAGCACAAGGCUAUACAAGGAGAGAAUUAAGAUGAUACAUGACAAAAAUAUUCUUGAGCAACAUUUUAAAUUUGGAGACAUGGUAUUGCUAUACAAUUCGAGAUUGAAGUUGUUUGCGGGCAAGUUGAAGUCAAGAUGGUCAGGACCAUUUCGUGUGGCAGAGAUGCAUCCUACCGGAGCUGUAGAAAUUGCAUUGAAAGAUAGCUCCCGCAAGUUCAAAGUUAAUUGGCAAAUGCUAAAAUAUUAUGAAGGCAUGGGUGAGGACGAUAAAGUGAUCUCAACCAUGUACUUGAAGGAUACUUGAUAAGGGAUAGCCCGAUGCGUGCUGUGACAUUAAAUCAGACACUUCCUGGUAGGCAACCCAUGGUGUUGUUGUAAUUUGUCGUUUCGCGACGUUAAAUCAAGCGCUUAUUGGGAGGCAAUCCAAUUUUUAUGUUUGUCUUUAUUUCUUUAGUUUGAUUUGAAAAGUUUGAAGUGUUGACAUGUUUAUGAGUGAUGCAGGGAUGGAAUUUUGCAAAUCAGAAUGACUUGAGGUGAAGAGAUCGAGAUAAAAGGCAAAAGGGGCUAAAUUUGCAAAGCUGAAAAGAAGCCUAGCUGGGAUCGCGUCUGCGCGCCAUGCGUAAGUUGAUGCGCUAGCUAUGCUGGCCAAUCUUCACGGGCAGUAAAGUCCGCCCGGGGCAUGGAUGACUUUGCGAGUUUUUUAAAAAAAAAA
rnacentral:lncRNA from 1 species